rnacentral:rRNA from 1 species
AUGCACACCUCCCCCUCCCGUUCCAUGGUGGACGUCACUCCUUCCCCGCGAAUAAGCUUCACUUCACUCCCCCUCCCAUCCUAUCCACAUCCACAUCCACAUCCACAGAUCCUCCCUGACGGCGCUCGUCGGCGGCCGCGGCAACACACGUACCGGCCGUCUCUCUCCUCCCGCCAGGGCUGCGCGUCUGACCUGACCUGA